rnacentral:rRNA from 1 species
UGCGUAGGUGGGCUAGUAAGUCCGUGGUGAAAUCUCCAAGCUUAACUUGGAAACUGCCGUGGAUACUAUUAGUCUUGAAUAUUGUGGAGGUAAGCGGAAUAUGUCAUGUAGCGGUGAAAUGCUUAGAUAUGACAUAGAACACCGAUAGCGAAGGCAGCUUGCUACACAAUCAUUGACACUGAGGCACGAAAGCGUGGGGAUCAAACA